GAUGAACGCUGGCGGCGUGCCUAAUACAUGCAAGUCGAGCGAACGGACGAGAAGCUUGCUCUUCUGAUGUUAGCGGCGGACGGGUGAGUAACACGUGGAUAACCUACCUAUAAGACUGGGAUAACUUCGGGAAACCGGAGCUAAUACCGGAUAAUAUUUUGAACCGCAUGGUUCAAUAGUGAAAGACGGUCUUGCUGUCACUUAUAGAUGGAUCCGCGCUGCAUUAGCUAGUUGGUAAGGUAACGGCUUACUAAGGCAACGAUGCAUAGCCGACCUGAGAGGGUGAUCGGCCACACUGGAACUGAGACACGGUCCAGACUCCUACGGGAGGCAGCAGUAGGGAAUCUUCCGCAAUGGGCGAAAGCCUGACGGAGCAACGCCGCGUGAGUGAUGAAGGUCUUCGGAUCGUAAAACUCUGUUAUUAGGGAAGAACACAUGUGUAAGUAACUGUGCACGUCUUGACGGUACCUAAUCAGAAAGCCACGGCUAACUACGUG
rnacentral:rRNA from 1 species